GUUUUUCUGAGAAGUUUUCAAAUCAUUACUUUUGGUCUACAAACUGAGAUAUAUUCUCUGCACAAAUGGAUUUCCGUCUGAAUGUUUGUCUCUUGUUGAUACUUUUCGUGGCAUUUUCUGAUGCUGAUGACCGUAAAUCUUCUCAAGUUUCAUGUACAGUUGUGGGCGGUGUGUGUAUUUCUCCACGCAUCCCGUGUCCUCCAACACACACUCCAUGCCCUCAAUAUCUUUGUCCAGGAUUUCAACGUUGCUGUUGCCCAUUUUGAGGUAGAAAAUGAAGCUGGAAUAAUCUAAUUAAGCAAUUAUGAAAUGUAACUUGUCCAGUUUUCAUUGAUUAAUAAAG
rnacentral:lncRNA from 1 species